AAAAUGCGAUAAGUAGUAUAAAUUAUAGAAUUUAGUAAAUUAUUAAAUCUUUAAACGCAUAUUGCGUCCCUUAGUAUUCUAUAGGGUAUACCUAUUUAAGCGUUAUCUACACCCUUAAGCUUUACUUAGUGUUAGACGUCUGUCCCACCUUUGUGCGUGGACUUACCCUAAAUAUAUUAGUAGUAGUCUUUACUUCCUCCUACGCAGUAUAUUGCGCUUCUUGAGGCUGUAGUGGCCUACGUCUAAUAAGCUAAACCCCCCUAUCUUUAACCUCAGAUUAGGUAGGGAUACCCGCUAAACUUAAGC
rnacentral:misc_RNA from 1 species